AGAUCUCGGGAUGAGAGACAGUCUUGAGUCCAGGAAGGAUCACUGAGGACGCCAUGGAAGUAAACUCAGCAACGUCAGCCAACGGUAACAUACCACAUGAAGAAACGGCUACCCAUUACGUUGCCACAUGACUGUGUAUAUGCGACGCUGCCGAAGAAGUAGAAUGCUCCAUGCUUCUCAGGAUAUGUCGAAAAAUCGAACCUGCGCGAGCUGGAUUGAUUGCAACGCCUAUCGGGACACGUACUGCUUCCUGAAGCGUCUGCGGUGCAACCUGUCACAAAAAUUCGUUGAUAAGUUCAAUACCCUUCGUUCUGGUAACUGGGGGACUUUCCUUGUCAACGGCAUCAGCUAGUGUGCGGUUAUUAAUCAUUCAUCAUACUGGCUUUUGUUGUUUUUUUGUGCGGUGUAUGCCGUUGAUUGAAAAGUGCCAUUUCUAGCGUGCUUUGCCCAAAUGAUGGGAUCUGGACAUCGCUGCGGAUCAAAAGACCAUACGACGCACUGGUCAUGUUGCGUGAAAGAAGCUACUCUCUGUUUUACAUACCCCUCCCUACUAGCCUUGCCCUGCCAAUCACUGAUGUCACCCAUGGUUUCGCUUUUUUCUGUUUUACCAACGAGGUAUCGAGCGGCAGUUCUACGCUUCCUGCAAACACACGCAGUUCAGAACUAUCCAGAUAGUGUUUUACUGCCUGAAAAAUUAGACCUCAAUGAACAAGUGUAGUACAUCACAACGUGGGACCUCCUGCAGCAGUUAGCAAAGUUAUCAAUCAUUCUGUAUUUUUGCGCUAUAUGCGCGGAAUCUAUACCGAGAGGGAACCGUCCUUUUGGAUACGCUCCCACAAAAGUGAUUCUGGACGAACGGUGUUACGAGGUUUCAUCCAGAAGAUAGCUCCGUAGUAUGCUUAGGCGUGAGACAUGACGGCGGUCACCUUGAUCCACGUAGAGAAUUCGUGAGGUCUCAAAGGACGGCUGAUAUUAUAAAUGCAGUGUUUUCCAUGACUGUUUGCGAGACUAGAUGGGGAUCGACGCUUAACCGAAAAAUUGGGUUCUGCACUUCAUUCGUUACUCAGGGCAACCAGACAAGCCAAGCGGCGCUACUCCCAGCCAUGCACUCACCUCGGUUCACAGCACACCGCUCUAUACCGGAGGGAAGGCUGCCAUUAAGAUAUAAACGCACAGUAUAGCUCUGCCACAGAGACAGAAGACAUUUCCAGCAGCUGAAGACAAGGGGUGCGUAUCUCGUGGUAGUGUGUGGCUUUUAAAAGGGAGGUUCCUUCUAUCACUGUGUGAGAGAAAUCAUGCGAAACUGAUGAGCGGGCGGUUUCUUGGCUGAGCCUCACCACAGAAAGCCAGCAAAGGUUUCUGGCAGCAUCUGUGACAUACUGCGUCUAUGAUAUAUAUCAUGUCGUGGAGGGCUCUCAGUGACGCUACAACAUCACGCUUCCUGUAUACCCCAGAUCACAUAAAUUAUGUUACUCUCCAUUUUGCUCCUGUGGAGCUGCAAGCCUCACAGGUCAACUGUUUCUCACUCAGUAUUCCUUCGCAACCAGACUUCCGUGACCGUCGGGAUCCAAGGAUCCGCACCGCUCGGGAGUUGCGAG
rnacentral:lncRNA from 1 species